rnacentral:rRNA from 1 species
CUGAGAGGAUGACCAGCCACACUGGAACUGAGACACGGUCCAGACUCCUACGGGAGGCAGCAGUGGGGAAUAUUGCACAAUGGGCGCAAGCCUGAUGCAGCCAUGCCGCGUGUGUGAAGAAGGCCUUCGGGUUGUAAAGCACUUUCAGCGGGGAGGAAGGCGGUGAGGUUAAUAACCUCAUCGAUUGACGUUACCCGCAGAAGAAGCACCGGCUAACUCCGUGCCAGCAGCCGCGGUAAUACGGAGGGUGCAAGCGUUAAUCGGAAUUACUGGGCGUAAAGCGCACGCAGGCGGUCUGUCAAGUCGGAUGUGAAAUCCCCGGGCU